UUAACACAUGCAAGUCGAACGGAAAGGCCCUGCUUUUGUGGGGUGCUCGAGUGGCGAACGGGUGAGUAACACGUGAGUAACCUGCCCUUGACUUUGGGAUAACUUCAGGAAACUGGGGCUAAUACCGGAUAGGAGCUCCUGCUGCAUGGUGGGGGUUGGAAAGUUUCGGCGGUUGGGGAUGGACUCGCGGCUUAUCAGCUUGUUGGUGGGGUAGUGGCUUACCAAGGCUUUGACGGGUAGCCGGCCUGAGAGGGUGACCGGCCACAUUGGGACUGAGAUACGGCCCAGACUCCUACGGGAGGCAGCAGUGGGGAAUAUUGCACAAUGGGCGGAAGCCUGAUGCAGCAACGCCGCGUGCGGGAUGACGGCCUUCGGGUUGUAAACCGCUUUCGCCUGUGACGAAGCGUGAGUGACGGUAAUGGGUAAAGAAGCACCGGCUAACUACGUGCCAGCAGCCGCGGUGAUACGUAGGGUGCGAGCGUCGUCCGGAUUUAUUGGGCGUAAAGGGCUCGUAGGUGGUUGAUCGCGUCGGAAGUGUAAUCUUGGGGCUUAACCCUGAGCGUGCUUUCGAUACGGGUUGACUUGAGGAAGGUAGGGGAGAAUGGAAUUCCUGGUGGAGCGGUGGAAUGCGCAGAUAUCAGGAGGAACACCAGUGGCGAAGGCGGUUCUCUGGGCCUUUCCUGACGCUGAGGAGCGAAAGCGUGGGGAGCGAACAGGCUUAGAUACCCUGGUAGUCCACGCUGUAAACGGUGGGUACUAGGUGUGGGGUCCAUUCCACGGGUUCCGUGCCGUAGCUAACGCUUUAAGUACCCCGCCUGGGGAGUACGGCCGCAAGGCUAAAACUCAAAGGAAUUGACGGGGCCCCGCACAAGCGGCGGAGCAUGCGGAUUAAUUCGAUGCAACGCGUAGAACCUUACCUGGGUUUGACAUGGAUCGGGAGUGCUCAGAGAUGGGUGUGCCUCUUUUGGGGUCGGUUCACAGGUGGUGCAUGGCUGUCGUCAGCUCGUGUCGUGAGAUGUUGGGUUAAGUCCCGCAACGAGCGCAACCCUUGUUCACUGUUGCCAGCACGUUAUGGUGGGGACUCAGUGGAGACCGCCGGGGUCAACUCGGAGGAAGGUGGGGAUGACGUCAAGUCAUCAUGCCCCUUAUGUCCAGGGCUUCACGCAUGCUACAAUGGCUGGUACAGAGAGUGGCGAGCCUGUGAGGGUGAGCGAAUCUCGGAAAGCCGGUCUCAGUUCGGAUUGGGGUCUGCAACUCGACCUCAUGAAGUCGGAGUCGCUAGUAAUCGCAGAUCAGCAACGCUGCGGUGAAUACGUUCCCGGGGCUUGUACACACCGCCCGUCAAGUCAUGAAAGUUGGUAACACCCGAAGCCGGUGGCCUAACCGUUGUGGGGGAGCCGUCGAAGGUGGGACUGGUGAUUAGGACUAAG
rnacentral:rRNA from 1 species